GGGAGGGGUGCGAGCGUUAAUCGGAAUUACUGGGCGUAAAGCGCGCGUAGGCGGCUUGGGUCAGUCGGAUGUGAAAGCCCCGGGCUUAACCUGGGAAUUGCAUUCGAUACUGCCAAACUAGAGUAUGGGAGAGGGAAGCGGAAUUUCCGGUGUAGCGGUGAAAUGCGUAGAUAUCGGAAGGAACACCAGUGGCGAAGGCGGCUUCCUGGCCCAAUACUGACGCUCAGGCGCGAAAGCGUGGGUAGCGAACAGGAUUAGAUACCCUGGUAGUCCACGCCGUAAACGAUGAGAACUAGAUGUCGGGAGGAUUUGCCUUUCGGUGUCGCAGCUAACGCGUUAAGUUCUCCGCCUGGGGAGUACGCCGGCAACGGUA
rnacentral:rRNA from 1 species